GUAAUUUAUUUUUACAAACAGAAAUUUUCUAAUAUCUAAGCUUUUUAAAGAAGCCAAAAGUUUAAGAAUUGCUAGUAUAAACUCAAUAUGUGAUUUCAUUUUGGAUUAAUGUUUAAAGUACUAGGAAAUAGCUGAAUUUCUUUUGAAUUUAUAUCCUGACAUGAUUGUUUUUCUGAUGGCUGAAAUUAACGGUGGAGGUUUCUAAUGUUGCCUACAAACCUGAUUUAUAGGAUAUUUUGCUAUUCUUUCCAUUGGUAGACUAUAUGUAAUUCUUGCGCUUACUAGUUAUCAAAAUUGGGACUUGAAUAGUAAAAACCUUAACUUCUACAUUCCUUAAGUUGUAAACUUUUAUCAAUUAAGGUGACAAAAAGUUAGCUUGGUCUUAAUUCUCAUCAUACCUAUACAGGUUAGUAUUGUGCCUUAAGUUUUUACCAGACACCAAUAUUAUAAAAGUCAUAUAUAGAGAAUAUAGAAAUUCUGUUUAACAAUUCUUUUUCAAUCUCUAUUUUAUAUUGUUCGAUGUAAUGAUACUAUCUCAGGGUUCAGAAAAGUAUUUUUUUUUUAUUUUUGUGAACUCAUGUCUCUUUCUAUUAGAACAUUAGAGAUACAUAACCCAUUAAGAUUCAGUUUUAACCUCAAUUUAUCAGAAGCUCACUAAUUUUCUGAUAAAUUGGAAUUACAUCAAUUCGCCUAUUUUCUAGAAGGAUUUUUGGUCCCAUUUCCAGACCUCUCUCUCUCCUACUCUUGAUCGAUAUUAUCAGCUUUGUUUUAUACUUUUAAAAAGGGUUUUAUUAUAUUGAUUUUUAUUAUGUGCUAUUUGAAAUCCACGUUGGAAAGAGAGACGAGAGCUAUUUAUUUAUAAUUAAAUAAUUACUUCUAAAAUUCUGUAUUACCAAAGGUGUCUGGAGAAUAGCUUUUUGUUCUUGUUGUUGCUUUUUUUUUUUUUUAACUCUGCUUAGAGGUUUCCUGUAACCAUAUAUUCAAAUCUUCUGUUUCUUAUAUUACCAGUACAAAAGAUAUAUUAAAAGAUUUUCUUUGGCAAUAGUUUAGCUAUGAAAGAAUGAGGAAAUCUGUUUCUAUUUAUUUUUGUAUAUACUAUAUGUUUGUUUAUGGCACAUUUUCUAAAUUAAAAGUCUCUUUUGAACAAUGAAAAAUUAUGGGCAGUGAAAAACUUACAGCAAAAUAUAAUACUAUUACGCAGACAAAUCUGUUAAAAUUUGUUGCAUAUCCUCCCAAUUUUGUAUACAUAUACACAUAGAUAAUUUAACAAAAGUAGAAUCAUUAUAACCUUAUUACAAAGUACUUUUUUAAUUUACAAUAUGCCAUACUCAACUUCCAUAUCCACAAAUAAUUAUUUACAUUAGAAUUUUAAUGAGUUUUAUUCCUUAAAUGUUUGUAUUAUAAUAUAAUGAGUUUCCUCUUGAUACAGAUAAAGGUUAUUAGAUUGUUUCCUACCCCCACCCUUUCUUUUCUUCUGUCAUAGAUAACUUAGAGAUAAACAUCCUUGCAAACUUGUGUAUGCUGAUAUAUCCAAUUAUUUUCUUAAGAAAAUGUGUAGUUCAUUGGAAUUAAUGUUGAAAAGGGCAGUAAUUUUUAAAAUAAUUUUGAUAAAUAUUGCCCAAAUGCUCUCCAGAAAACUUGUGCCAUUUACAUUUCCAUUAUCAGUGUGGAGGGCUGCCCAUUUCCAUAUAUUCCAAGAACAAGAGAGUUUGUUUAAGUUGUUAGCCAAUUCAAAAUGAUAUGUAAAGCAAAAUAUUUCAUGGUUCCUUUUUUUUUUUUAUUACUACGAAAGUUAAAUAGGAUUUCUUGUAUUUGUUGGCCAUCUGUGUUUUCAUAUUUGUGACUUAAUGUUUCAUGAUCAUCUGUUUUCCUUUUGGGUUUUUUUUUUUUUUUGUAUGGAUUUGUUACAUUUCUUUAUGUAUUAAGAACAAAAGUUUAGACUUUUUCCCGCAAUAUUCUCACCUCGUUUAUAGUUUUGAGGGUCAUUCCAAAGUUAAAUUUAAACUCAGAAUUUUCAGUCUUUUACUUAGAUGGCUUUGAUGUUAUAAUUCAAAACACUUUGAACAACUCAAAUACGCACACACACAAUUAAUCUGUAUCGUCUUCUAUUACAUUCAGAGAUUUAUAUGCUCGGUAAUUUCUAAGCAAAACUUUUAUCUAUGGAGUAUCUUAGCCACAGCCUAUAGUAGACCUCUUAAAAGUAUCUUGCUUUUCAAGCUUUAUUGAUACGUUUGGUAAAUACCUACCUACUGUAAGAAUCUUUGUGAGACUCAUAUGACGACUCGAAUUCAUUGGGCCUCUGAAUCACUGUGUUGAGAGGUAUUUACCUCAAAAAAAGAGAGUUUUUAAGAAGACUGGGCAAUAGGACUGGGAACUGUUGUAGGUGUGUCAAGACUUGACAUCUCUUUCUGGAUAAUCCAGUCUAUCAAAGUGUUCAAAUAUUUGAACAAUAUUUCAUAAUGCUUGUAAAUGGAUUGUUAAGGUAAUAUCAGGGAACUGAGUUCUCUGCUAUGUGCACAAGGAAUUAAGAGGACAUAAUAUCAGAUGUCUAGAUGAAUUGUAGCUUCAUGACACAGUGUUCUACCAUUUUAGUAGAAAUUGCUUAUUUUUAAUAGUUACUGUAAGAAACGACAAACUUAGUUUACAAAAAUACAUAAUCCUGUGGAUUUUCUUGAUUAAUUUAUUUGAAUUUUGCUCAUUUUCAAUUUUGUUUGUGUGUGUGAUAAUAUCAAGUCAUCCUAGUUGGCAGUACAAGUUCAUUCUUUGAAGAAAAUUUAAUCAUUAUGCCCAAGUGCCUUGAUAAAUAAGAAGAAUCUUUACUUUUCUGAUAAGCAUUCCAGUAAGAGCUAAUUUACAUAGGUGCCUUGAGCCACUGCUUCUAUUCUUGCCUUCCUCUACCUACAAACAUUGCCAAGUUUGUUGUAGAUGCCUGCUGGCAUGCAUUGCCAAUUCAAUAAAUGUGCCUUCUAACAUUUACUUAAAAAUAUAAAAUUUCUGAAUAUUUUUAAAUUUUUAAAUGAAAAUCUUUAGUUAGUAAAAAUAAACAUUUUAAAGUGGUUUAAAAUUGGUAAUUUCUUGUUCUUAAUAUUUUUUUUAUAAAUCCAUUGAGAAAAGAUCAAAUAAGGUUUAAUCUUUCAAUGGUAAAGACGUUUUUUAUUUAAUUUUAAGUAUUUCUAAUUUUCUAAAGAUUGGUUUGUCCUAGGAGUAAACUGAAAACAACUUGCAUUUUUAAAUGAAGAUACUCAUAUUUCAUGUUUUAAAACACCAACUUCCUUAUGAACUAAUAUUUCUUUUAUAGUUAGUCAUAAUUAUGGGACCAUGAUUGAAAAGAGCCACUAAUGUAGAUCAAGUUUUCAUGAGGAAUAAUUGACUAAUUUUUUUAAAAGAUUUGAUUUAUUUACUUGACAGAGAGAGAGAGCAAGCACAAGCAGGGGAACAGGAGAGGGAGAAGAAGGCUCCCUGCCGGGGCUCGAUGCCAGAACCUGGGAUCAUGACCCAAGCCCAAGGCAAUGCCCAACUGACUGAGCCACCGAUGCGCCCCAAUAAUUGACUAUUUUUAAAACAUUUCUGCAUUUAAUUGUUAAAGUAAAAUUCAGCUAACAUGUUGAGGAUUUAGAAUUAGCUUACUUGUAUUUAGAAAAUAUGCCUUCUAAUAUAUUUUUUAAAUAGAUAAAACAGUAGAUAAAAAAAGAUUUUUUUAAUCUACAUUUUAAAGAGUGAACAAAUUAAAUGUCCUCACGAUACCUUUGGCUAAUAGAAAAUUCCAGUUCCCACUAGAAAAGAAAAUUUUAUGUAACAAAAUAUUCAGAGUUUAAAUGUCUUCAGGCAUAGUAUUCUAAGACUUCUGUACCACUUUGGAGGCUCUUUGCUCUUCCCCCCUCCCCGUAUCUCAGCUUUAUCAUCAGGGAAAUGGCAAGAUGACUGUAGGAAUUCCUGUCAUCAUACUGAGACACAGCAACAUUCAGAAGGUGAUGUCUUUCCUAGAAACCGUUUAACAACUUUUUGCCUCAGUUCUUAUUGUCCAUUGUUGGUAUAUAGAUUAAAUAAGAUCUGCCACUAGAACUGAAGAAGUAAUCAAUUUUCUAAGUUUUGUGCAGAAGGCACUUAUGACAAGAAGAUAGGAGAGUAGAAAUGGAUGUUGGAGUAUGCAUCUGAUAACCCCUGGGUAUUUUUUAUGUAUAUCUAAUUUUGAAUUUCAGUACUUAUUUGAUAUUUUUUUCUUCUUUUUAACUUUUGCUUCCAAACAAUUCUUAAAAUUCCAUUUUCUCCCUACAGAUAGUUUUGACAUGGGUCAAAAAGGUGAUUUUUCUCUUCUACCUCAAAUUGUACAAUCAUAAGGAACAGAUUAUGCAAUGUAUUCUGUAUAAGAUUAAACUCAUUUUUGUUUGAUAACAGGACUUGUGUUUUUACAUAUCGUACUCUAUUAGGUCUAAAUUAAGCAUCUGCUGAAAAUUUUAACUGAAAAGGUUAGAUUCAAUUUAGUCACCCAAAUGAGUUUCCACCAAGAAUAAUUGUCAAUAGAUUACAAAAGGUUUCUUACGGUAAUAUUUGAAAAUAAAUCUACAUUUAAUGGGUAUUGGUUUCUUGAGUUUUACUAUAAGGUAGUCUAAGCUAAAUAUGUUUUCAUGCAUGCUAACGUUUUAGAAUUGUACCACCAGAGUGAAGAGACUCUUAAUUUACUGUGUAUACAGGCAUACCUCAUUUUAUUGUGCUUCACAGAUACUGUGUUUUUUACAAAUUCAAGGCUCCUGACAACCCUGCAUCGAGCAAGUCUACUGCCACCACUUUUUCCAACAGGAUCCACUCGGGUCAAGGAAGACUCCCUAUAGGAUGUUACACUACAGAGGCAGCGGUACCUUUUUGAAAUUAUACCACGUGGUAUAGUGCUGCAGGGAGAAAAAAGCAAGUUCUUUUGAAAAGGAUAUGGAAUGGAUAUGUUUCUUUGUGGGAGAUCUGAUCAUAUUCUAGAAGGAAACCGAGAUGGAAACUGUGCUGCCAAAAAAGUAAAGCAGGUCCUAGGUCCUAAAGAACAUGACAUAUGGG